UAUGCCACAGCAAUCAUGUGAUGAAAAUUAAAGUGAAAGUUUUGGGCCCAGAGCCGAAAAAAAAUCUGUGUAUGCGCAAGAGGCUGUUGAUGUGCAAAUGUGAAUUAUAUUGAGAAGGUCUGAAUAGGGAGGUGUGACGUAAGGAGGGGACACAGACGCAGGUGCUUAUCUCUACGCAGUCAAAGGCACUGGUUGUCAUAUCAUGGGAACUACCUUUCAAAGAAACAGCGUUAGUGUUUCCGUUCAGCACGCCAGGGAGAAGAGAAAUGUAAGUUUUGGAAACAAGCAAAAAAAGCCCUACAUUUUGUGAGAUUUCUUGAAGGACUGUGGAAAUUUCAUUUUACAUGACUGAGUGCUCAAGUCUAAGCAAUGGAAACUCUCCAGUUCAAAUCCAAUGGGUAUGAGUGAAGUGGUCUACUCUAGCACUUGAGAGAGUUUCAUCCCUCUUCUCCCAGGAGCCACAGUUGCUGACUGGAGUUGAAGAAGCAUCUGCUUAAUGUGUGGUCAAACCUUGCAGGUCACCGAGAAAUCUAUGGUUCAGAAGCCGGUCACUUCAAUCCACUGCGAAGGGUAAAACACAGGACGAGACGAGAGAAAUCGGCGAGGAAGAAUGAAUUUUAGGAUUUCUCACUGAAGCGGGCAGAGACAUUUAGUCACUUGAACGAAGCAGGGCAAACCAAGUUGGCAUACAAGUUACCUGGAGAAACAGAGAGGGAAACAAACAUCUUUCCCUGCCAUUUUGGGCUGAUCCAAAGCUGUGUUCAAACAAAACGGUGGCAGAAUUAUCCAAAGAAAGGGUGCUCACUGUAGGGUUCCUUGUUCUUCAGCCUCGCCAAGUUUUAU